AACGCACGAGACCUGCGGACCUGCGGAAGGAUCAUUACAGAGCCUCUCUGUGUGACCAUCGUGAACUUACCGGCCUGUUGCCUCGGCGGGGGAGGGGGCAGCCGCCCCGGCCCCCGCCGCUAGGCCCUGGACUCGCCCGCAGUGGGUGUCGCUCUUCUGAGUGGUGGGCCCCGUCACAGGGGAUCGAGGGAAGAUCAAAACUUUUAACAACGGAUCUCU
rnacentral:misc_RNA from 1 species